rnacentral:rRNA from 1 species
AACGAACGCUGGCGGCAGGCCUAACACAUGCAAGUCGAGCGCCCCGCAAGGGGAGCGGCGGACGGGUGAGUAACGCGUGGGAAUAUGCCCUUUGCUACGGAAUAGUCUCGGGAAACUGGGGGUAAUACCGUAUACGCCCUUUGGGGGAAAGAUUUAUCGGCGAAGGAUUAGCCCGCGUUGGAUUAGGUAGUUGGUGGGGUAAUGGCCUACCAAGCCGACGAUCCAUAGCUGGUUUGAGAGGAUGAUCAGCCACACUGGGACUGAGACACGGCCCAGACUCCUACGGGAGGCAGCAGUGGGGAAUCUUAGACAAUGGGGGCAACCCUGAUCCAGCCAUGCCGCGUGAGUGAUGAAGGCCUUAGGGUUGUAAAGCUCUUUCAGCUGGGAAGAUAAUGACGGUACCAGCAGAAGAAGCCCCGGCUAACUCCGUG